AUUGAACGCUGGCGGCAGGCCUAACACAUGCAAGUCGAGCGGAUGACGGGAGCUUGCUCCUUGAUUCAGCGACGGACGGGUGAGUAAUGCCUAGGAAUCUGCCUGGUAGUGGGGGACAACGUUUCGAAAGGAACGCUAAUACCGCAUACGUCCUACGGGAGAAAGCAGGGGACCUUCGGGCCUUGCGCUAUCAGAUGAGCCUAGGUCGGGUUAGCUAGUUGGUGGGGGAAGGGCUCACCAAGGCGACGAUCCGUAACUGGUCUGAGAGGAUGAUCAGUCACACUGGAACUGAGACACGGUCCAGACUCCUACGGGAGGCAGCAGUGGGGAAUAUUGGACAAUGGGCGAAAGCCUGAUCCAGCCAUGCCGCGUGUGUGAAGAAGGUCUUCGGAUUGUAAAGCACUUUAAGUUGGGAGGAAGGGCAGUAAGUUAAUACCUUGCUGUUUUGACGUUACCGACAGAAUAAGCACCGGCUAACUCUGUGCCAGCCGCCGCCGUAA
rnacentral:rRNA from 1 species